rnacentral:rRNA from 1 species
AUGAACGCUAGCUACAGGCUUAACACAUGCAAGUCGAGGGGCAGCAUGGUCUUAGCUUGCUAAGGCCGAUGGCGACCGGCGCACGGGUGAGUAACACGUAUCCAACCUGCCGUCUACUCUUGGACAGCCUUCUGAAAGGAAGAUUAAUACAAGAUGGCAUCAUGAGUCCGCAUGUUCACAUGAUUAAAGGUAUUCCGGUAGACGAUGGGGAUGCGUUCCAUUAGAUAGUAGGCGGGGUAACGGCCCACCUAGUCUUCGAUGGAUAGGGGUUCUGAGAGGAAGGUCCCCCACAUUGGAACUGAGACACGGUCCAAACUCCUACGGGAGGCAGCAGUGAGGAAUAUUGGUCAAUGGGCGAGAGCCUGAACCAGCCAAGUAGCGUGAAGGAUGACUGCCCUAUGGGUUGUAAACUUCUUUUAUAAAGGAAUAAAGUCGGGUAUGGAUACCCGUUUGCAUGUACUUUAUGAAUAAGGAUCGGCUAACUCCGUGCCAGCAGCCGCGGUAAUACGGAGGAUCCGAGCGUUAUCCGGAUUUAUUGGGUUUAAAGGGAGCGUAGAUGGAUGUUUAAGUCAGUUGUGAAAGUUUGCGGCUCAACCGUAAAAUUGCAGUUGAUACUGGAUAUCUUGAGUGCAGUUGAGGCAGGCGGAAUUCGUGGUGUAGCGGUGAAAUGCUUAGAUAUCACGAAGAACUCCGAUUGCGAAGGCAGCCUGCUAAGCUGCAACUGACAUUGAGGCUCGAAAGUGUGGGUAUCAAACAGGAUUAGAUACCCUGGUAGUCCACACGGUAAACGAUGAAUACUCGCUGUUUGCGAUAUACAGCAAGCGGCCAAGCGAAAGCGUUAAGUAUUCCACCUGGGGAGUACGCCGGCAACGGUGAAACUCAAAGGAAUUGACGGGGGCCCGCACAAGCGGAGGAACAUGUGGUUUAAUUCGAUGAUACGCGAGGAACCUUACCCGGGCUUAAAUUGCAGAUGAAUUACGGUGAAAGCCGUAAGCCGCAAGGCAUCUGUGAAGGUGCUGCAUGGUUGUCGUCAGCUCGUGCCGUGAGGUGUCGGCUUAAGUGCCAUAACGAGCGCAACCCUUGUUGUCAGUUACUAACAGGUUCCGCUGAGGACUCUGACAAGACUGCCAUCGUAAGAUGUGAGGAAGGUGGGGAUGACGUCAAAUCAGCACGGCCCUUACGUCCGGGGCUACACACGUGUUACAAUGGGGGGUACAGAGGGCCGCUACAACGCGAGUGGAUGCCAAUCCCCAAAACCUCUCUCAGAUCGGACUGGAGUCUGCAACCCGACUCCACGAAGCUGGAUUCGCUAGUAAUCGCGCAUCAGCCACGGCGCGGUGAAUACGUUCCCGGGCCUUGUACACACCGCCCGUCAAGCCAUGGGAGCCGGGGGUACCUGAAGUGCGUAACCGCGAGGAGCGCCCUAGGGUAAAACUGGUGACUGGGGCU